AAACUCAAAGGAAUUGACGGGGCCCGCACAAGCGGUGGAGCAUGUGGUUUAAUUCGAAGCAACGCGAAGAACCUUACCAGGUCUUGACAUCCCUGACAACCCGAGAGAUCGGGCGUUCCCCCUUCGGGGGACAGGGUGACAGGUGGUGCAUGGUUGUCGUCAGCUCGUGUCGUGAGAUGUUGGGUUAAGUCCGGCAACGAGCGCAACCCACACUCUUAGUUGCCAGCAUUCGGUUGGGCACUCUAGGAGAACUGCCGAUGAUAAGUCGGAGGAAGGUGUGGAUGACGUCAAGUCCUCAUGGCCCUUACGGGUUGGGCUACACACGUGCUACAAUGGCAGUGACAAUGGGUUAAUCCCCAAAAGCUGUCUCAGUUCGGAUUGGGGUCUGCAACUCGACCCCAUGAAGUCGGAAUCGCUAGUAAUCGCGUAACAGCAUGACGCGGUGAAUACGUUCCCGGGCCUU
rnacentral:rRNA from 1 species